ACAGAUUUCGCGUGCUUAUUAUCCAGGCGGGAAAAAUUUCAAACACGCGGUGUGCGCGCCACUAUGUAGGCCGGAACCCACAGCUCUGGUCCUCGCCGUGAACCUCCCAGCGGCGAGAGGGCCAUCACCUACUCUCUCUUUUUCUCGCCCCCCUUUCAUUUCUUUGCUCCACUACUCCGUGGUUCUUAAGGAGACGGAUGAUUUCAUGAUCAGAAUCUUUUUAAGGAUAUGGAUGCUUCAUGACCAGAAUCCUUUUUAAGGAGAUCGAUGGUUUUAUGACCAGAAUCUCGAAAAGGUUAAAGGUAAUCUGAACGCAUCUCUCUGUUCCAUUUGAUUUUGAUGAUCUUCGGAUGAUCUCAUGUUAAAUCUAGGAGCAAAUUUGGUUGGAAAAUGAUGACUUAGCCUUCUUUCUCCCAUGAUUAGGAAUUAUAUGUCAGUCUGGAUCCGAAUCAUUUGUGUAGAUCAGUGGACUAAGAUCCUUUAGAUGAUUCUCUAUGGGAUUUUGCUGAAUUUUGUUCAGAUGCUUAUGGUUCUUGAUAUGAAAUACAUGUUGAUAGUCAUUCUGCUAUUUGCAGACUUCUGUAGCGAUCAUAGAUUCUGUGAGGCGCUAAAAUAUUGUGAGUGAAUUGUUGCCUAUGUUUGCUGAAGAGAGAUGGAGAUGUUUCUUUCCUCUAUUUUCAUUGAUAUUUUCGAUCAUGAUGAAUUAAAUAUCUUUUCCAGCCCAUAAAAAAAGAAAAGAAAAGAGUAUUUCAUUUAUCCAGUUCUUGGAUUAUGUCAUAUACACCUUUAGUAAUAUAUGCAAUUUUUUAUUUGAAGUGAUGAAUUGCCUGUGUUUUUUUUUUAAAAGAUACAAAUUUAUCACAUGCGUGGCAUUUGCUAGGUAUACAUUACCAAUCUUUUUUCUCUUUGUGCUGUUCUGCUUACAAUUGAAACUGUAAGAACACUACUGAUGUCAGUUAGAAGUCGGUGAGAGUAUGUAGAGAUUGCUUGGAAGUGAAUUGCUGAAAUCAUUCAGUCCAGUUCUAUUAGUCUAUUUUCCAUGAUUUUACCAACAUUAUUGCAACUAUUCUGUGGAGCUCAUAUCGUGCAACAUAAGCUAGUAAUACCAAUAAUGCAUAAGAAUUGUUACUUGUUUCACCAUCUAUCCAAGUUAGUUCAUCAUCCAUAGAUCAACAAAGAGCCCCGAAAUAAACAAUUUGUGUCAAGUUCAUGCAAGAUGACCUUCUUAACCCCUUUUUUUUUCCCUUUAUCAUUGGUUCUUAUCUGAGGCCAAAUUCUUUGUUGUAGCAGCAGUCUUGCUUUUAUGCUCGAUAAGAAUCUCCAGAUGUCUGAAACUUGAUGACCAUCGGGACUAGGAUGACCACAUGCGAAGUGAUAGCUUGGGCAAAUAGAAUUCAGCAAGAUCAGACAUUUUCUUUUUCUGUCUUUCCUUUCUUUUCUUAUCUUCUUUGUUUUAUUCUGCAGGUAAGUGGGGCAGUGUUGCUUACAGAUGCUAUACACUUGUCUGCCAUGGUUAUGUAGACACUAAAAUACAAUUUAACAAAAAAAAAUGACUGAAACUGUCACAGUUUCUUUCCUAGGUUUUUCUAGAGAACAGGAAAAAAGUGUUUACUGUGUUCAGAAGAUUCAACUUCAUUCAAGCAUAUCAAAGUGAUGGAUUAACUUUAUUAAACUCUGUCUAUUGGGAUCUGGAAGAAUGACGGACAUUUCUUGGUGGUGGUCAGGUUCAUGUGUUGUUAGUUGAAAGUUAAAACUAGUCAUGAGUGAGGAUUUGGGGUUUCCUCUGGUCCUUCGAAAGAUCAAGAGGUGCUAAGUUAGACUUAUGUUCAUGUGUUGGGUGGGGGCGUGUGCCUAAGCAUUUGUCCUUCCAAUAUCCAAGAGUUUCUUCUCACAGAGUGGUGUCUGAUUGACAUACAAUAUUCAUGUUUAUGUGCCAGCUGCAAGUAUUCUAGGCUAAAUAAAAGUGUCUCAGUAACACAGACCAAGGGACAUGACUGAGAUUCUCUUAUUUAUUUAGCUGAUAGAUCAUGGAUGCCUCUGAGCAUGGAAAGUGGCUUCCAUAUUAAGGGGAAAGAAUCACUAUCGAGCUGCCUUUAUCAUUUUUUUUUCUUUUUCCUCGAGAUGCCCCUGCUAUAGCUUGGAUAUUCUUGUAGUGCCUUCUAACGGAAGAUCAACAGUGUUGGCUUAGACUUUUGCAUGACUAAAGCACACAGCAGGUUAUGGAGUAGGGACAUGCAGGUGCUGUAUAGCAUUCCACUGAAGAUUGAAAGUGAUUCUGGACAGUUGAAAUCAUAAGAAGAGGGCUUUUGGAACUGGAGGAGAAAGUUCCUGUGGCAUUACCAACUACUUGUGGUUUGUGCAGCCAUUUGAGGAUUCUGGUGACUCCUAUAUAGCAUUCAGCAAGAUCACGCGAAUGCAACUGAUGAAAUUACUAAAUAUGACUAAGUAAACACAUAAAUAAAACAUGAUUAUGGUUUUAAUGAAGAACAAGUGUCAUAAAUGAAGUACAUAUGCUCUUGGAUAACAAACUUUUUUGGGCUGCAAUUAUGUACAUGUAGCAUGUGGAUAAAGCUAUCUUCUAUUCGACAAAUGAGAAGGUCAGGUAGCAUGCACAUUAAUUUAAAGAUAAACCUAUGAGUCAAGUAACUGAAAUUGCUUUUGUUCAGAUGCAAGGUAUAUUGAUUGAACUUAUAUGACUAGCUCUUCCCAGGACACAAAAUCUAGGCGAUAACUCAGAAGGCCACUUUUAGCAUUCUAGCGAUGAAUGGAAGAGUAUAUCCUUGUACUAAAAGAUUGAAAUGAUUGAUCUUACAUUCAUCUUCAAGUCUAUGCUAGUUGGAACUAGUUCAUGUGACAGAAAGCCUCCAAAAAAAAAAUAUAAUGUUUAGCGGUCAACAGUCUAGUUAAUAAUUUUUUAUAGUUGCUUAUAACUAAUUUAUGGUUUUCAUUUGCUUAGUUGGAGUUGAACCACUUGGUUAGUUGUAAUUAGUUCAAGUGUUAGAAAUUAAAACGUUAACAUGACUUAGUUGCUUGUAACUAAUUUAUGAUUUUUAUUUGCUUAUUUAAAAUCAAAUCUUUUCUCAUAUUCAGUCUAAAGUGAAAUUUUAGUAGCUCUCCAUAGAAAAUUACUCUGUAAUUCACUGAAAAUGAGAAUGCAAUCAGAUUGUAUAUGAUUUGCAUUUAAUCACAGUUGCUAGAUGAGGAUAUUUCAAAUAUCCAAAACAACAUUAUAUCAACUGGCACCAUAUUAUUGUCAAUACUAUCAACUAGUGUUACAUUAUGAAAAAAAAAAUUGUGAUACUUUCUCUUGAAAAUAGGUGGCAAAAUUUAUGAAUAACAAGUAUAGAUUAAUUUGUUUAUAGGAUCAGUUCUUUGUUUUUGGUCCAUGAUGAAUUGAUAUUCACCACUCUCACCACAACUACUUGUAAUAUUGGUUAUUGCUUUUUGGUGCACAUUCUUAAUAAUCUUCACUAACUCUCUCUCCUGUUAUUUUAUCAUAUAUUUUUCUUAAGCAUUCAGACCCAUAACAAUUAGUGCAGCAAGUUACAUUUAUAAAUAUAAUCAUGGACUGGUGUUUCAAGAGUGAUUCAGGUGACAAGGGGGGACAUGAGAGAACUUGAGGAAGAUCAAAAGAACCAAGAAACCAGAGAGAUGGAACCGAUAUAAAAACAUAUAAGUCGAAAGAUAGAGUUUAACAAUGUUGUUUGCUACUCAUGAAUUAUUUAAAAGUUGCUGCUAACUAUUCAUUAGCAGCAACAACUAGCUGAAAGUAGAUUAUCAAAGGAGCAAAAUGCAUUCUUCAGAUGAUUGCUCAUAGCUCAUUUUAUGUUCGUGAACAUGACACACUAGGAGAUCUAUAUCUCUGGGGGCAUAAGUAAUGAGUCCCAUAUAUCGUUAUCAAAAAAAGGGUGUAGCCCAUCGCCCUCCUCUAUUUCACUACUGUAGAUCCCUUCGAUGUGAAUGUCUUUGUUGGCAGAAGCAACACUACCAGAAUCGUGUAAGCUAUUGUCACUUAUAUAAAAAUGACCCUUGGCAGCUUGAGAGAAAAGUGAGUUUUGCAUGAUUUCCAUAGUGCGAGAUCCACACUCAUAUUGCUUCAAGGGAGGAGGAGCUACAUUGUUCCCAAUUGAAUCUGAAAGAUAACCAUGUUUAAAUGUAGCGCUUGGCCUGAAAGCAUCUGGAGAAUUAUUCUUAGCAUGUUCAGGAACUUGAGCAGCCAACAGGGUUUUAGUGCAUCGUACCGCCUUGGUCCUGAUUACAUGAACUUCUGAGCUGCUCUCUUUCUUCCCUGACUUUGAUUUUUGGAAUGGUGUUUUCCUAGUUCUUGAUGAAAACUGUUGCUGAGAGCUGCUUCCUGAGACUUUUUUCCUGAGAUAGGUAUUCCAGUAGUUCUUUAUUUCAUUGUCUGUUCUCCCCGGUAAUCUUCCUGCUAUCAAAGACCAUCUACACAAUGCAAAGGUUAAGUGGAGUGGGCACCACUACUUACACUUAUGCUACAUGAUAGGAUGAGACAAAUCAAAAUUCGGAAAUGAAACAGUCCUGUUGAAUUUUUAUGUCAAAAUCAUAAGAGGAUCUUGCAUUUGGUAAAACUUUUUUCGCAAUAUCGUUUUUUUCUUGAUCAUUUUUUCUAGUUCAACAUUAUAUCACUGUAUGAUGGAGUAAGCUCAGAUUCCUGACUGCUGCUGCUGGAGCUAGCUAAUUAGUAUGCAACACACUCUAAUCUGUUUAUGCUGUGUUGAUAUGAUUUCAUCACAUCCUCUGAACCAUCAUGAUCACUUUGUUUUUUCCUAGUCUAGCUCAUGCUAAUCAGGAAUGGAGUGAAAGAAGUAUUUAGUAGCUGCAAAACAAUUUAAUCCAAACAAUAAACCAUCUUCAUGUAUUAAAAUCCAGAAACAAUCUCGGAAGGGGAAGGGGGAAGAGGGAAUAAUCUGUUUCCAAAAUCCAUGGAGGUCUGGCCCAUUGCCAUUGCUAGGUUUCUGGAGUCCAUGGUCACUGCCGGAUUUAUGACGAUGCAUUUUGUCUUCAUCUUUAUCUUUUCAUGGGGAUGGAGGUAACAGAAGAGGGUGGAGAUGGGUGCGUGGAAUAGAGGGUGAGGACGAGGUGGAUGGGAAGGGGAUCGAGUUGAAAAAGCCAUGAAGAAGGGGUGUUGAGAUGCUGCUGGGGUGCUGGAGAGGAAGCAUUUAGUGUGGGAGAGUUUUGUUAAAAACGAACUGGGGAUGGAUUAGGGAGAUGGAAACUAGGUUUUCAGUUGACCUGCGGUCCUCCCCAGUUGAACCUUGUGAGUCCCACUACCUGAAUAUCUGAAUGGUUUCGUCCACAUCACCAUGUUCCAACAUUGAUAAAUUGGUAUGUGUUCUUGGAAAGCAACUAGUCCAUCAUAACAAGAACCAGGUCACCAGGUUCCUGUAGAUCAAGGGCACUGGGUUCAUAUUUAUUUUGGAUCAUAGGAAUACCAAAAUAGGUGAUUUUUGUUGUCAAUCAUCUAUCAAGAUGAUUUCCAUCAUGGACUAUUAGAUCUCGAAGAAAGACAUGAAAGCUUAAAAGAAGAAAGAAGAAAUAUCAAGAACUUGAUACUUACCUAUUGCCAAGUAGCUUAUGGAGCCUGAUGAUCAAUUCCUCUUCUUCCUUGGUGAUAUUCCCCCCUCUUGAUAUCUGGUCUCAGAUAAUUCAACCAUCGCAACCUGCAACUCUUACCACACCUAUUCAAUCCUGAAAGACCAAAGCUAUGAUCGUGUCAGCAAAACCUAUUUUAGAAUUCUUUAAAUUCUGAACACAUGAAGUCAUCUAUUCUUAUUGAGAAAUAUCUUCAGCUUGAAAAAAAAGGUCAUGAAAUUCUCAUGAUUUUGUUAUAGACCAAUUCGUCCUUUAGAUACCAGGAUGCUGACUAUUUGCAUGCUUUUCUAGUUUACUACUACUGUUUGUUCUUCACUUAUUCUGAUUAAUGUUUACAGCAACUAAUGUAUGGAAGCAAUAUUGAGCAUGAUUUAGGCAAAAUGCAGUUGUACCCAGACAUGCAUAAACUACUCUCUUACCUGCAUUAGCAGGUAAACUUCGCCAUCUCCCUGGGCCAUGGACCAUGAUAUAGUCUGAUAGUAGCUUGUCUUCGUGGCUCGUCCAAGCUCCCCUAUUGAGCCCUUCUUCACGGCAGCAUCCCUUCGUCGCCAUCUUCUUCCCUGUAUUUUUCCUUCGACCCUUGAGAAUGCACUGCGCAUGCGGCAUGCAGCUCAAAUAAACAAGCUUCAGAAUCAUAUGCUACUCCAGCAUUUAAUGCCAACUGCUUGACAUCUUCUGAAGUUCACACCUAGUCUUGGGUCCGACGAGGCCUCAUGGCACUUUUUCAAGACUUGGUAUGGCCAAAGAAUCAAAAGGUCAAGUUCCCCAUUGCAGUGUAAGUUAAAAGAGCAUCAUGGCGUAUCCCUGCCUACAUGAACGAUCAUUUCAUCAUUCUGUAAGCAUCUGGAGCUUGUCUGCCUUACUUAGGAUUCUCUCUCGCUCAGCAUGAUUUGGUGACCGCACCUUUCUGGAUAAAUUGUCAUAUAUGGGAACUUAACUACCCUAGGAAGAAACCCUAAAACAUCAAGUAAUUUAAGAGUGAGAUGGCCAGCUUCUAAUUUUUAUCUGUUAAUAGCAUGUAGUUUGGGAAGUUGAUGUAGUGGGAGCUGCCAAGCUAGGAUAGCUCUUUCAUGUGCUAAUAGCUUGCUUCUAGCCUCUUAUUCUUUGCCAGAGAGACCUUUUGCUGUUUAAAGUAAGACCCAAAUGGUUAAAUGAGACAAGGGCUGUAAGAAGGAAAAUUUGAUGGCGAUGGCGGGUUGUGAACUUGUGAUCAUGGUGAUGGAAGUCGUAAUGCGGUGAAUAGGUGUGCGGAGUAAAAUAUCUUUCAUCUGGAAGUUCUGACAAAUUUUCACCUUGUGGAGUACAUAAAUUCUACACCAUUUAAGAGAGAAGUAAAUUGAAAUGCAGAAGGCUCGAUAAGAAGUGCGUUUUCUCAUUUAUCUGAUAAAAAGAUGACUUAUACAUUCUAAUUUUUUGAUCAAGUACUCUUCCCAGGUUUUGUUGCUCCCAAUGCUGCCCUCACACUGCGUCACACAUCACUCCCAACGAGGCCUUGCAAAUGGUUUGAUGUUCUCCAUGCUAAGCCGAGAUGCAUCGAACGUGUUACAAUUCGAUUCUUUUUAGCCUUUUUGACGGGCAUAAAUGCUGCGCAAAGCAGGCUGCAGGUGCUAAAGUGUUUCAGUUUGGGGGCAGCGAAUGCCAAGUCGAAGUAGGAUGAUGCAAGCCAUGCAGCUCUUGUAGUUAUUGCUUGAUAUCAAAGUAUCACCAAGAAAAGUUUGGUUUGUACUUUAUAGUAUUUUCUUUUUAAGAUUUCAAUCUGGACUGAUUCCCUUCUAAUUCUUCAUGGGCUCAGACAACAUGAGCAGAAGAGAAAGGGUAGAAUGCAGUCAGUCAUUCAAUAAAGUCUGCUGUUUAGUUGCGUUAGAG
rnacentral:lncRNA from 1 species